GCGGUUAAAACCCGCGCGCUGCAGCAUCGCGGAAAACGGGAUUCGCCUCAUUUGAAACUUGAGGAAAAUCUCUAAACACUUUCAUUUUGAUAGAAACCAUUUCCGCCGCUGACGUGCGUCUACGCCCAUCAUUUCAGCUGACACGUUGCUGUAACGUCUCCUCCGUUUCAUGCUCUUUCGAACCCUGUCAGCUGCGGGAAGGAACUUCUAAACUAAAAGCUGGCAAGACUCAGCAGAAAAAAAAUAUCGAAAGCUGCUUCUGCUGCCCCAGCUUCACUCAGGCCCUGGCUGCUCCUUCACUGGUCUACACUGCUGCCUCCUGGAACCACCCACUCUGCAACCAGGUCUGAUGCCCGGUGUGGACAUUCAGGGAUGAGGUCCCCUGGGGCUAAAUGAAUGAACAGAUUCUGAAAAGCAGAAGCUACGUCCGGGGGUCUCUGGGCCACAAAUCACUUUCUGACCUGCAGCCGUGAGGCGUGAGGCUCACUCGGAAGCUCCCGGAACCUGGAGACUGCCCUCACUCAACACUUGAACAAGCAAGGGGCCAGGUUCAAUGAAACACCUGCCCGCCCGGCACACCAGGCUCAAAAGCAAGCAAGCAAGCAAACAAACAAACAAAAUCAAAUCAGGCCUUCACAACUCCCCAAAUCAUGUGUGAGUUUCUACAGAGCAGAAGCCAAAAAUAUAUGUUAUCUAACUAGGUCCUAUUUACAUAUAUUUUUAUGGCUGCUCUAAAAAAUUAUCACAAACAUAGCGGCUUCACCCCGUUUCCCCUGUUGUGAUUAUUACACAUUGGAUGCCUGUAUCAAAAUAUCUCAUGGACCCCAUAAAUAGCAACACCCUGUAUGUACUCAUGACAAUUUUUUAAAAAAGAACACUUACACUUUC
rnacentral:lncRNA from 1 species